rnacentral:tRNA from 2 species
UGGGGCGUCGCCAAGUGGUAAGGCAACGGCCUUUGGAGCCGUCAUUCGUAGGUUCGAAUCCUACCGCCCCAGCCA